rnacentral:rRNA from 1 species
AUGGACAACGAAGCACCCGAGAAAGUGCCAGCACUAGCUUCUAGCAGGGAGGGCAACAAAAAGCAAGUGACUAGCAGCAGAAAAGAGGAGCAGUCAGAAACCAAGACUGUCAUUCCUCCUAGAGCAAAAAGACAAAAGAGAAAGGACAAAACUCAACUCAUCAGCGACGGUGCUACCUUGAAGCAGCAGCAGCCAAGUCCUCUAAUGAUACUCCCGCCAGCAGUUCCACGCGCUGACAAUGAUGUAAAUAAAGACAAGAAGAAAAACAGAAGACAACGGUUGGAAGAAGACGAGGAUGAUGCCAGCAAAGAGUCAAAGCAUGAUGCUGCCGAUGACGACGAUGGCACAAAACACGAUGAUGAUGUGAUUCGUAUAGAGGGCGAUGGCGCUGCAGGGGACAACAGUGGCGCCGCAAAGGACAUCAACGAUGAUGUAGAAACAAGAAAGAAGCGCACAAAGAGAAGAAAGACAAGUGGAAAAGAAUUGGCAGCACCAACGGAUGAUGAACAGGAGGCAACAACAAAUAAGGACAAAUGCGAGAUCAAGGCAGGAGCAGCAUUUGAUAAUGUGAAUAGAGCAUGGAAAUUACUUGAGGAACAUCACCGGCAAGAUGUUAGGAAAGCCGGGUUUGGAAGCAUAGAGGGAUGCCAAAUAAAGCGCUCCAUCUGCAAACCGCUUGCAGCACACAUCUUUGACAAACUGGACAUAGGAAGCAUGAAAAUCACGUUUGGUGAAGUUGAUCAGCAGAAAGAAAUCAUAAUAACAAAGGAAGGCAUCCCCAAGGUGUUUGGAUACCCAAACGGUACGCAAAGGACAGCACCAAGGCCAAAGAUUUCCACCGAAACAAUGAGCGAACUGGUCACAGAACUUGGCCUCAAGAAAAUGGAUUUCCAUCACGACGAUCUGUUUAAAGAACUAGAAAAAUUGGUGAAACAAGAUGACGAACAAUCAAACAUGAAAUCAGUUAAAAAAAUUCCUUAUUUUUUUCCACAACAUUGUCUGUGGAACAACCUCCCCUACCUUCAGCAAACAAGCCAUUAUGGUUAA